UCCUAAAUUAAUAAAUUACUCUUUUUGUUUUUAAGCUAAGUUUUGGAGUCUUGAAUUCUUGCAAAAGUUAUCCUUCCCAAACCCCAGGGGUACACAUCUGAACUCCAUAACAUUUUUGGUGCCCAACAUGUUUGGCUCUCCUGAAAGCUACUCUUUUACCCCGGAUCAUCCACGAGGACGCAGCUUCUAAGUGCUUUGCAGAAGGCUGCAACAAUCUCCUCAGAAAACUGGGAGAAAAUACCUUCCAUUGUCUGGGAUCAAGGCAUACUGGGAAGAGCCCUUCAGGCGGAUCAGGCAAAGACAUCUCUAAAACCAUCCGGGAAAUCUGUAGAUCCUGUGCCCUCAGUGCCCAAACCAACAGCACUGGAGCUCUUGGGCCACCUCCCCUCCUUAAGCCUGUCCAAAGGAGAGGGGAAUCACCUGGUGAGGACUGGUAGAUAGAUUUCACC
rnacentral:lncRNA from 1 species